rnacentral:rRNA from 1 species
GCGGGAAAAGCUCAAAUUUAAAAUCUGGUGGCCUUUGGUCAUCCGAGUUGUAAUUUAGAGAAGCGUCUUCCGCGCUGGACCGUGCACAAGUCUCCUGGAAUGGAGCGUCGUAGAGGGUGAGAAUCCCGUCUUUGGCACGGACUCCCAGUGCUUCUGUGAUGCGCUCUCGAAGAGUCGAGUUGUUUGGGAAUGCAGCUCAAAAUGGGUGGUGAACUCCAUCUAAAGCUAAAUAUUGGCGAGAGACCGAUAGCGAACAAGUACCGUGAGGGAAAGAUGAAAAGCACUUUGGAAAGAGAGUGAAACAGUACGUGAAAUUGUUGAAAGGGAAACGCUUGAAGUCAGUCGCGUCGUCCGAGACUCAGCCUCGCCUCGGCUUGGUGUACUUCUCGGCCGACGGGUCAGCAUCAAUUUUGCCCCUUGGAUAAUGGCGAGGGAAAUGUGACACCUUUGCGGGUGUGUUAUAGUCUCUAGUCGCAUGCAAGGGUCGGGAUUGAGGAACUCAGCACGCGCCUUCGGGCGUCGGGGUUCGCCCACGAUACGUGCUUAGGAUGUUGGCGUAAUGGCUUUAAACGACCCGUCUUGAAACACGGACCAAGGAGUCUAACAUGCCCGCGAGUGUUCGGGUGG